GAUUAAGAGCUUGCUCUUAUGAAGUUAGCGGCGGACGGGUGAGUAACACGUGGGUAACCUGCCCAUAAGACUGGGAUAACUCCGGGAAACCGGGGCUAAUACCGGAUAACAUUUUGAACCGCAUGGUUCGAAAUUGAAAGGCGGCUUCGGCUGUCACUUAUGGAUGGACCCGCGUCGCAUUAGCUAGUUGGUGAGGUAACGGCUCACCAAGGCAACGAUGCGUAGCCGACCUGAGAGGGUGAUCGGCCACACUGGGACUGAGACACGGCCCAGACUCCUACGGGAGGCAGCAGUAGGGAAUCUUCCGCAAUGGACGAAAGUCUGACGGAGCAACGCCGCGUGAGUGAUGAAGGCUUUCGGGUCGUAAAACUCUGUUGUUAGGGAAGAACAAGUGCUAGUUGAAUAAGCUGGCACCUUGACGGUACCUAACCAGAAAGCCACGGCUAACUACGUGCCAGCAGCCGCGGUAAUACGUAGGUGGCAAGCGUUAUCCGGAAUUAUUGCGCGUACAGCGCGCGCAGGUGGUUUC
rnacentral:rRNA from 1 species